UUAUAGUUGCGCAGGCACUUUGAGAACCUCUAGAGAACCUCAGGCCAAUUGCACGUCCCCUUGACGGAGACGACGCAUUCGGAUGUCUGCCCUAUCAACUUUCAAUGGACUUUCUGCGCCUACCAUUGUGACCACGGGUAACGGGGAAUCAGGGUUCAAUUCCAGAGAGGGUGCCUGAGAAACGGCUACCACAUCCAAGGAAGGCAGCAGGCGCGCAAAUUACCCACUCCCGACGCGAGGAGGUAGUGACGA
rnacentral:rRNA from 1 species